AUGUGAAUAUUUACAUCAGCUGACAUCAAAUCAACUGACUACAACUACAGUUUAGGUUUUUGUUAGAAUAACCAAAAAUAUAUUCACAUUUACGUUUGAUAACUUGCAUGUAAAUAGCUACUAAGCAUUUAUAUAUUCUAAAGCUAGGCUAUAGCGAAAAGAGGUUGCUAAAGCCAGCUAGCUUACUCAAUUCUAAACAAAGUAACGUUAUUUCAAGUGUUGUCGGAUGUGUGUGUUUUAACGCGUGACUAUGGACAAGCUAGCCAUAGAUGUUGGUGAUAUUCAGUCCAGGCUAAUAGACCGUAGGCCUGUCGUACAAGGGGAGAUCUGCUAUUUUAUGAAUUUGAGGAAAAACUUGGAUUCAGAGAGAGCCGUUUCCUGGACAACCUGAACAAAAUGGUGGUGGAGACCAAUGAGCAGUCGUUGCCCAAAUGUUCAGAGCACAUGCAUAAGCACCUCUGUGAGGCCCUCACACGAUUGGAGGAUGGGAAUUACACGUCACAGAGGAUCCAGUAGAGGGAGCUAUAGGCAGACCAAGUAAAGACACAGGCUCUCUUCAAAGCCCAUGAAUUACCAAUAGUGAUUUAACCAUUCACAGGCAUGGAUUGUGACAACAGACCAGGGCCCAGUUUCUCGUUGUCGAUGAAACUUAGGCCUACGAGUGUAUGAACAAUGAAUCGUACAGCAACCGAAGAAGUCGCUUAAUGUUUCCCAAAACACUAAGAAGGGAGAACUUUCACUAGGUCUGUCAUUGGAGCAGGUGUCAUUACUGAUAGGAUCGAAAGAAAGGCAGCGCUGCUCAAGGAUCAGCUUGGUCCAUUCAAAUCUUCCACAAUUCUAACGAAGGAUCACCUAUAGGCUAUGGCUGCAAAUAUUAAGGUGGCUUAUUAACCUAAUGCUUAUGCCCAGCCUACACCUCAUUGCUCACAUGUUACACAUCAUGAAAUAUAUUUAGGCAAAAAUUACCAACAGUAGCCUACAAUUAGCCAAAUAGAACUCAAUUGAUUGAACAAGAAAUAGAUUUCAAUAUGAUUGAAAUGUGUAGGCUUAUGUAGUUUCAUUUAAAGCAUAUUUUUAUCCUUUGCUUGUCUGUAACAUACAAAGACUUUGGUAACUUUGCAGUCAACUUUGUUCUGAAUUUAUAGGUGUUUACAGAGAGACAGAUAAACAUCUUGAGUCUGUGUUUAGCAGAGAUCUAUGUAUAAAGUUAUGUGGAAGGGCAAAAAAGCUCCUAACGAUGUACUUAGCUCUCCACUAAGAGUGGUCUGAGGCAGUUAGUAAAUAAAGAUUGUUUUCAAGUGCAACUUUAGUUCUAAUGGUUUUGGGAAACAACUCGGGGAUUUACCAAUACUCCUACAAAGGUUCUUGAUGCUUUUGGGAAACCGGGCCCAGGGGCGGAUCAUUUGGCACUAAACAGGAGAUAGCUGUUUGAAACUGAGUACCACCCAAAUCUCCCCAACAAGAGUGUUUUCAUUUCCAAUUUCAUUUUUGUCUAGUUCAGAUUUUUUUUGGUCUUUGAACCUGACCCAGAUCCUUGCAUGUUGUGCACCUUAGAGCACCCAGUUGCAGGUGACCAUAGACAGACAGAAGGAGGAGGUGGACGAAGAGCAUACCAAGGACAUCGGACGCCUCAGCAUCAUGUACUGCGACAUGAAGAAGGAUCUGGCCAAAUUCUCUCACUUUCGAUCCUCGGUGUGUCUGUCUGUCUGCUUGAAAUUAAGUUGUUGAAUUUGAUUGAUGCGGUACUUAGUCGUUGGCACUAACAGAGGACUUCUGAGGACAAAAGUCAACAGUUUCCAGAUCACAAAUAACAAAGUGUGAUUAACAACGUGGCAUUUUCACAGCCCUUCAAAAUCACAAUUUUCUGGCCUAAGCACAUGGAAUAUGUAUGUCAAGUUCUGGAAAAAUGUCAUUUUUAAACCAUAAAUUACAUGAUUGUU